rnacentral:rRNA from 1 species
GAGGAAUAUUGGACAAUGGGCGCAAGCCUGAUCCAGCCAUGCCGCGUGCAGGAUGACGGUCCUAUGGAUUGUAAACUGCUUUUAUACGAGAAGAAACACUCCAACGUGUUGGAGCUUGACGGUAUCGUAAGAAUAAGGAUCGGCUAACUCCGUGCCAGCAGCCGCGGUAAUACGGAGGAUCCAAGCGUUAUCCGGAAUCAUUGGGUUUAAAGGGUCCGUAGGCGGUUUAGUAAGUCAGUGGUGAAAGCCCAUCGCUCAACGGUGGAACGGCCAUUGAUACUGCUAGACUUGAAUUAUUAGGAAGUAACUAGAAUAUGUAGUGUAGCGGUGAAAUGCUUAGAGAUUACAUGGAAUACCAAUUGCGAAGGCAGGUUACUACUAAUGGAUUGACGCUGAUGGACGAAAGCGUGGGUAGCGAAC